UACUGAAGUGGGUUGCCAUCCUUCUGCCAUCCAGGGGAUCUUCCCAACCCAGGGAUCAAAUCUGGGUCUCCUGCAUUGUAGGCAGACACUUUACUGUCUGAGCCACCAGGGAAGCUCUUAUAAGACCAUGCUGACAAAAAUGUGUUCAAGGAACAUUUUGAAGCAAAAUAAGAAAAUACAGCUAGUUUAUUUAGAUAGUCAUAUAAAGUCACGUUUCUGUCAUUUUCCUCUUGAUUUCAUUUCAGUGUAAUAACAGACUUCUCUUUUCUCACAUAGACAGCAUAUGAUAAUUAAUACGUGCACAUAUUCUUGCCCUUUGUAUUAAAAUUAUAUGUCUGAGUAUGCAAAUGUGACCCUUUUCUCAAAAAGUCAUUUAAAAUGAAUCCAGAUCCUAACAGUUCUUAGCUGUUUCUUCUAAUAUAGCUGUUUUUCUUUCAGGGCACAUUACAAAAAUGUACUUUGUGUAAAUGUUAAAAAUGUAAAUAUCAUAAAAAGCUAAAAGGGAGUAGCUUAGGAAAAGUAGCCUAGAAUUAUCUCUAAUACUUUUUUCCCAUUAAAAAAAUAAGUAGGAAAGAUUAAUCUACACUUAAGUAAUUAUAGUUAUGUGUGUGUGUGCUCAAUCGCUCAGUUGUGUAGAACUCUUUGUGACCCCAUGGACUGUAGCCCACUAGACUCCUCUCCUCUGUCCAUGGAAAUUUUCAGGCAAGAAUCCUGGAGUGGGUUGCCAUUUCUACUCCAGGGUGUCUUUCCAACCCAGGGAUUGAACCUGGGUCUCCUGUGUUUCCUGCAUUUACAGGCAGAUUCUUUACCAUUGAGUCACCUGGGAAGCCAGUUAUAGUCAAUUACAAAAGUUAAUAACCUAACAUUUAUAGAAUUAUAAAUGAACACAUUUAUGAAACAUAAAAAAAUCAAUAUUUGAAUAUUUUCCCUAGUAAUCAACAUUAAUAAAGACCAAAGACAAGUCAGGCUGAAGCUGUUAUUGUCAGAGUUUCUGAGGGAAGGAACUUACCAGGAGGCGGGACCUUUAACAGCCCCAGUUCUGGCUGGGAGCCCUGCUCUUGAGAGCCAUACUCGGUUGCUACCUUUGUGUCUCCAAAUCCAUCUUCAGAGUCUUUUUACCUCUUCCUUUUAAGUCACAGCAGAGAGUCUGGCUUUGUAUUUGGUUUACUUUUUUAAAGUAGUAUUUGUCUUUCUUCCUCUCCUUCCUCCCUAACAUCAACUACAGGAUCACAUGGAGCUAAUUUGUUUUACUGUCACGGGAGUCCUUUUUCUGGACCAGAUGGGCCUGAUUAAAACCAGGCCAGUUAAAAGGUCAACUUGGUAGGCAAGUGCAUACACUCCAUGACUCAAGGGGUUCAGGAGGGAUGAGGAGGGAUGAUUGGUGUGUGCUCAGUCAUGUCUGACUCUUUUGCAACCCCAUAGACUGUAGAAGACCCUCCCAGGGUCUUCUCUCCAUGGGCUUUCCCAGGUAAGAAUACUAGAGUGGGUUGCCAUUUCCUCCUCCAGGGGAUCUUUCUGACCCAAGGACUGAACCUGUGUCUCCAGAGUGCAGGUGGAUUCUUUACCAUUAAGCCACCUGGGAAGCCCACGAGGUGGGAUUAUUAAAGCAAGAUGAUGAGGGGAAGAGUCUGUCUUGUGGGCCCCUUUCCUCUGAGGGACCGAGCCUGUAGGUGACGUUGUUCCGGGACAGUCAGGCUAUCAGCAGCACCAACUGUCUGUACCCUCUUUUCCUUCCUUCCUAAAGGUCCAGAUUAUUUGUGUCAGCCUCUUUGGGUUCACAAGGCCGUAUCCCGUUAUGGGAAAAAAAGCCCAAGACCCAACUCUAGAGUAAGUUUGGGCUCUCAGCUGUGUCACAUAGAACAUCAGGAAAUUUAUUAAGUCAUUUAAUUUUUCCCAACUCAAUUUCUGGAUGUUAAAAAUGAAGGAAGAUGACAGCAAGAACGGCACCGCAGCUGGGCGUCUCCAGAGCAGACAGGUGCUGGAUAUAAGAUGCCUCCGAUUGUCCUGUGAAGUGUAGACAGUGCUCCAGAUGACAGGCCCCGCUUGAUCUGCCAGAGGACAGAGCUGCUCAGUCUGUUGACGCCUGGUUCAGAGUCCCCCAGCUUGCUCAAACAGCUGCCAGAGGCAGCCAUGAAAUAUUGCUUAAUUAUAGAAUUUCCCUUGAUCCUCUUUAUCCCUUCUCCCGCUCCCCGUACCCGGCUUUGUGCCCCUCCCUGGUUCACAGCACCUUUAGGCUGAGCACUCAGGGGAGUAUUAGGAUGGUGCCUUUUCCAGCUCACAGUUAAGGGACUGACAAGAGGUUCAACUACACUCUAGCUGUGGGCUUAUUCUUGGAGGCUGUAAUUAGCAGUGUUAAGUUCGAAUAUGGAAUGCAAUGUUAUUUUUUUCAGCAGGAAGCAAGUUUACUUGGAGCAGGGCAGAGGAGGAUAGCUUUUCUCAUUCUUUCUCUCCUUUUUUUUUUUUUUUUUUUCUGAUUAGAAAGUAAUGGUUAUUGUACAAAGCGGAGAAAGUAUCAAGAAAUCUAAAGAUAUGACUAAAGCCUACUUUCCUCUUAUUCAUAUGUUUGGAUAUUAACCAAAAUAGUAUUAUGUUCACUUAGUAUUAUGUUCACUUAGCAUUAUGUUCACUUUCUAUUUUAA